AGAACCCGAUCCCAUCUCGAACUCGGCCGUUAAACACACCAGCGCCCAUGGUACUGUGUCUCAAGACACGGGAGAGUCAGUCGCCGCCA
rnacentral:rRNA from 1 species